CGUCAGAACAGUGACGUCACAGGCAAGCCCUCCAAACAGAGAAAAGGGAGGAGACCGGAGCCCUGAGUAGGAAGAUGGCGGGUCCUGUCCUGCCUGAGUCAGCCAGGGGCAUCCAGCUGUUCUGCUGUGUGGCCCUCUGUCUCCUGGGGACAGGUCCAGCGGGUGCUGGAGUCACCCAGUCCCCCAGACACCUGGUCAAAGGCAGCGGAGGGAAGGCCGUCCUGAAAUGCCGUCCUAUGUCUGGACACAGAAGUGUGAGCUGGUACCAGCAGGCCCCGGGGCAGGGCCCCCAGUUCCUCAUUGAGCUCUUCGACCAGGAGACGAGAGAGAAAGGAAACCUCCCCAGUCGCUUCUCCGUUGAACAGUUCAGUGACUACAGCUCCCAGCUGAACAUGAGCUCCUUGGGGCUGGGAGACUCAGCCUUGUAUCUGUGUGCCAGCAGCUUAGGCACAGCCCUGCAGCAUGACUGGCUCUCCGUACUCAAACUUUCCUGUCCCAGCUGAGGAUGUAAGAGGGAGAGGGGAAGGGGGCCUCAGCCAACUUCCAGGGAUGCUUCCAGUUUUUUCCCAGCACUCUGCCUUGCUGAGCUCAGCCGGAGCACUCCUGAACAUUUUGGGGCCCAGAUUCCGUGAAUAUUCUCACGGUCUCUAGCCAGUGUGAGGAGCUGCUGCGUUUGUGCUAGAGUGUCUGCGUACGAUACAUGUUUUAAUGCAAGAUAGACGUUAGUGUGUCCGUUUCACAGAUGAGGAAAUUCUCCGGAUGCCCUAUUAUAGAUAAGAAAGAAACGGUAGCUCGUGAGCUUUCCAAAGAUUUUGUAUUUCAAGUAGCAGAGGUAGGAGUCAAAUCUAUGUCUCCGUGCCUCUGAAAUCAACAUUUCCCUAAAAUUCCAUGGCGUCUCCUGGGCCUUGGUCACUAUGACGUAGCAGAGCACCGUCUCUUCCACUUCAGGACCAGCUGAGCCGUGGUGGGGAGGUCGCACGUCACGAUGUGGGGUGACCGUGGCUAUUGCCUCCCCCCUUCUAGGACUAGCUUCCAGCCAGAGAAUGUGUGUUUGUCCUGUGUUAGUCCUGUCUUAGUUCCACUAGAGUGGGGCCAGGGUAUCCCCCAGUACAGGAGCUAAGUGACUAGGGGACUCCCAGCCUAUCAGAGGAUUCAGCCAAGGAAACAAGAGCUCUCUGGGAAUUUUAAGCAGAACGAGAGCUAACACGGGAGGAGUGCUUUUAAGCCAUUGGGAGUUCUGGAAGGCGGGGAGGUCUCCGGAGGCUGCCGCUCGCUCCCACACCUAGCCCUUUCGGUCAGAAAAGCUGAAACUGCGACUUCUGCCCAGGGUUCUGCCCUGCAGAAACCAGAAAGUACGAGUGGGGCAGGGGCAGAGAGUGGGCGGAGAGAGAGAAUCCCAAGCAGGCUACGUAAGCACUUUCUGUGGAGAAAGUGCAUCAGUGCAUCCUGCAUCAGUGCAGAGCUCGAACUCACAAAUCAUGAGCUCAUGACCUGAGCAGAGGCUGGCUGCUUAACCGACUGAGCCACCCAGGCACCCCAAGGUGCCCUAUACUUAAGUACAUUAUUUCAAUUAUUUUGCUUAAGGCCCAUGUGAGAUAGAGCCAUUUACCCACAUUGCAGGUGAAAAUGCCGGUUGUUAGAGUUCAGGUGAUUUGCUAAAGGAGGCACAGCACACAGAUGGCAGAUGAGCACACAAGCCUAGGCCACGCCGACCCUACCGCUGCCCCUUCUGCAUUUUGGUAGAGGGAGACAUCUUCACGACUGGAACAUUGGCCCAAAAGUGCCUUUCAGAAACACCGGCGCUGACACAGUCCUUGACUCGCCUUUCAGCUGGGAGGCUACCUGCCGAGGAGGACUUCGGAUGCUUAUUACUUUCUGUCUGUUCGUAUUCUGACCUGCCUUGGACGGGCGACCUGGGAAAAUAUUUGGCUGGGUUUUCCCACUUGUAAACUGACGCCAAUAAUAUGUGUCUUGCAGAGACUUUAUGCAAGGAAAAAAAUAAAACAAAUUCCCCAAGACAAA